rnacentral:rRNA from 1 species
GGGGAGUACGACCGCAAGGUUGAAACUCAAAGGAAUUGACGGGGGCCCGCACAAGCGGAGGAACAUGUGGUUUAAUUCGAUGAUACGCGAGGAACCUUACCUAGACUUGAACGUAUUUGGACAGACCCAGAGAUGGGUUCUUCUUUCGGGACCAUUUACGAGGUGCUGCAUGGUUGUCGUCAGCUCGUGCCGUGAGGUGUCGGGUUAAGUCCCAUAACGAGCGCAACCCUUGCCAAUAGUUGCCAGCGAGUAAUGUCGGGGACUCUAUUGGGACUGCCGGUGUAAACCGUGAGGAAGGUGGGGAUGACGUCAAAUCAGCACGGCCCUUACGUCUAGGGCGACACACGUGUUACAAUGGCCAGUACAGAGGGUCGCUACUAAGUGAUUAGAUGCUAAUCUCGAAAACUGGUCUCAGUUCGGAUUGGAGGCUGAAACUCGCCUCCAUGAAGCUGGAUUCGCUAGUAAUCGCAUAUCAGCCAUGAUGCGGUGAAUACGUUCCCGGGCCUUGUACACACCGCCCGU